GUCCACGCCGUAAACGAUGAAUACUAGGUGUCGGGGGUCAUAAGACCCUCGGUGCCGCAGCUAACGCAAUAAGUAUUCCACCUGGGGAGUACGUUCGCAAGAAUGAAACUCAAAGGAAUUGACGGGGACCCCGCACAAGCGGUGGAGCAUGUGGUUUAAUUCGAAGCAACGCGAAGAACCUUACCAGGUCUUGACAUCCCGAUGAUCGGCAUUUAACUUUGCCUUUUCUUCGGAACAUCGGUGACAGGUGGUGCAUGGUUGUCGU
rnacentral:rRNA from 1 species